GCGGAAUUGUGCGGAAAACUUAGGUCAAUACUACCCCAAUUGUUUGCCUUCCAAGCAGAUCACGCGGGUUCGAUUCCCGUCAUCCGCU
rnacentral:tRNA from 1 species